AUUGAACGCUGGCGGCAGGCCUAACACAUGCAAGUCGAGCGAGCGGCGGACGGGUGAGUAAUGUCUGGGGAACUGCCUGAUGGAGGGGGAUAACUACUGGAAACGGUAGCUAAUACCGCAUACCAUCAGAUUUGCCCAGAUGGGAUUAGCUAGUCGGUGGGGUAACGGCCCACCUAGGCGACGAUCCCUAGCUGGUCUGAGAGGUUGACCAGCCACACUGGAACUGAGACACGGUCCAGACGCCUACGGGAGGCAGCAGUGGGGAAUAGUGCACAAUGGGCGCAAGUCUGAUCGAGCAAUGCCGCGUGUGUGAAGAAGGUUUUCGGAGUGUAAAGCACUUUCAGCAGAGAGGCGUUACCCGAAGAGGAAGCACCGGCUAACUCCGGGCCAGCCGCCGCGGUAAUAC
rnacentral:rRNA from 1 species